AUUGAACGCUGGCGGCAUGCCUUACACAUGCAAGUCGAACGGUAACAGGUCUUCGGAUGCUGACGAGUGGCGAACGGGUGAGUAAUACAUCGGAACGUGCCUAGUAGUGGGGGAUAACUACUCGAAAGAGUGGCUAAUACCGCAUGAGAUCUACGGAUGAAAGCAGGGGAUCGCAAGACCUUGUGCUACUAGAGCGGCCGAUGGCAGAUUAGGUAGUUGGUGGGAUAAAAGCUUACCAAGCCGACGAUCUGUAGCUGGUCUGAGAGGACGAUCAGCCAUACGGGGGCGGAGACACGGCCGAGACGCCUACGGGAGGAAGAAGUGGGGAAUUUUGGACAAUGGGCGCAAGCCUGAUCCAGCAAUGCCGCGUGCAGGAUGAAGGCCUUCGGGUUGUAAACUGCUUUUGUACGGAACGAAAAGCCCUGGGUUAAUACCCUGGGGUCAUGACGGUACCGUAAGAAUAAGCACCGGCUAACUACGUGCCAGCCGCCGCAGUAACAC
rnacentral:rRNA from 1 species